UACGGAGGGUGCAAACGUUGCUCGGAAACAUUUGGCGUAAAGAGCACGUAGGCGGUCCGGUAAGUCGGAUGUGAAAGCCCUCGGCUCAACCGAGGAAGUGCAUUCGAAACUGCCGGACUUGAGUACGGGAGAGGGAUGCGGAAUUCCCGGUGUAGAAGUGAAAUUCGUAGAUAUCGGGAGGGACACCAGUGGCGAAGGCGGCAUCCUGGACCGAUACUGACGCUGAGUUGCGAAAGCGUGGGGAGCAAACAUG
rnacentral:rRNA from 1 species